AAUUACUGUAGAUCAAUUAUAUAUGUCAGCCACAAGACCUGUGGAUCAGGGAUCAGGGGUCCCCCUAAGCCCCCCACUGGAGCCGCACAACAGAAUGGGGGAAUCACACAUGUACAACAAGAUCGACCCACAACAAAACAUGGAAGAAGACGAAGGUUGAGGCUAUCCAUGCUGUAAACGCAGCACUCUGGUAUCCAGGGCAAUCAAGUGGAGAUUUGAGACUAGUUGGUAAGUAAUGGGUUAGCCUCGGCUGGUAGACUGGAGGUCUAUUACAAUGGACAAUGGGGGACAGUGUGUUCUGACAGCUUCAGGUUUUACUGAUGCAGAGGUGGCUUGUCGUCAACUAGGGUUCUCAACGUGUACUCAAUAUACGGAACAGUUGAAACUCUAGGUUUCAAUGAUGAAGUCUCAUUGAAAUUUCAAACAUGGCUGGACAAGCUUCGUUGUUCAGGAAGGGAGAGCAGACUGGUUGAUUGUCCUGCUAUCACUAUAAUUGGAGUUGGAAUUGCAGCCAUUCAAAAGACGUGGCCUUAAUCUUUACUGCAAGUAUUAAAAUAAUAAUUAUAUAGAGGAGUAUAUAGUUUGGCAUUGCUACAGUAAUAAUUUAUGAGCUCGAUCCUUUUACAUACAGCAUGCGUAUUAUUAUGCCUCGAGGCGUAGCCGCACGAGGGAUACGGUAAAGCUGACUGUGUGCAGUGGCGAGUCCAGUGCAUACCCCCCCCUUUCUUGCCAGAAGACCAGUAAUCACUGUAGAUUAGCUAAUAAUUAAGAUCUGUUAGCUCAUUUUCUGAACGAAGUGGGUGUGGCUUAUAGCACAAUCAUAGAGCAGACGAGCUUUUGAAGCUGAAGAGCAAGAUGAUUUCUGCUAUAUCUUGCUACUAGUAAUAUGUAUGUACAGUAGAACCUCGAUUAUCCGGCCCUCCAUUAUCCGGAACCUCGAUUAUCCGGCUUGGCAGUUUUCUUGUUAUCAGAUCAGAAAAUGGGCGUGUCCCUCAAACACGCAUGCGCAUUGCAGCUGUUACCAUGGAGACAUGCCUGCUUAUCUUCUGCGCAUGCGCAGACAACCAUGUGGCACUGCUGUUUAUCAAUAAAGUGGGUGGAUCAAGGCGUGGUUUAUCUAUUCGAUUAUCCGGCAUAUUCACUUAUCCAGCCUGCUUCUGGAACCAAGGUGUCCGGAUAAUCGAGGUUCUAUUGUGUAUCAUAUUGUUGAUCAUUCAAUCCAUGACCAGAUAGCCACUGAUAGGGCUUUAAAAAAACAGUUGACCUUUUUUUUUAGUAAAAUUGUUUCUUUCAAUUGCCCCCCCCCCCUUUCCAAAGUCCUGGAUCUGCCCCUGGUGUGUGUGUGUGUGUGUGUGUCUGUCUGUCUGUGUGUUUGUCUGUUCCAGCUGUAACUGCUCAACGGUUGCAAUGCGAUGAAAACUAUAUAGGCUUCUAGCCACGUUCUCUUGGAUUGGAUUAGCAAACUAAAGCUUCUUUCUCGAGUUAUGGCUAGUUUGAUCCACAUUAAAGGCUGUUGCAGCAGUCUCUACAGAUUCUUUCGUAGCAUCGUCUGCACUUGUUCGCAGAAACUUUCUAUUCAACAUACGAGUUAUAGCCUUGCACUAAAGCGCUAGCUUUUCGUUAGCUACAAGAGUCAGAAAAGAUCUGUUAAAGCAGUAGCCAUUUGCGAACUUGAUCUCUUUGCAGCGCAGACACACCCUUUAAUAAUUAUUCCUGUGUAUGUAAUGCGCAUGCUUGGCUACAGGCCAUUUAAAUAACAUGCAGUUGCUUCAGGUCGUUGAAGAUUAUUCAUUAUCAGAUAUAAGGCUUCUGUUUCUAUUCAUGCAGCUCCUCUCCUAUAAUGAAUUCAGUUCUGUCAGCAAUUGCAAUCAACCCAGGUCCCAAAUUGAACAGUUUGUACAAAACAACCUCUCAACAAAGGUCACCUUUGUAUAAAGGCCAAAACAUUGUUCCCCAAAGGUGUCCGUUAUAGAGGGGUUCCACUGUAGCAACUCAUACAAUGCAUUGUUGACAUACAGUGCCUUCCAUGCAGUGGUGACAAAAGGAAGGGGUAGCGUUUGACUAUUUGAGAGGCAACAAUUCUGUUGUCGUCAGAACGAUUUCUUUUGUAUGCAUGCAAUGUAUAUUAAACCAGCAAUCCUAGUCAGAAACUUGGCUGAACCACUGAAUCUAUGCAUAUAUACAUGCAAUUCAGGUGCAAUCCUGUUUCGAUAUCGGAGCGAUAAUGGGUGGGGAACGGGGACGGAUCAAGUAAAUCGAUAUCUUCAUUCCCAAUCAUUAUCACUCGUUCUUCAGGGGUUGCUGAGUAUUAUAUGAGGCAUAAUGUGGUGGAAGCAUCCUGCAAUGUGAGUAGGUGAAUGUGCAAAGCAAUGCAAGGCACAUAAAUAUUUAAUUAGUUAAAUAAGAUUAUGAAAUGAGAGAUACAAAGAGAGAAAAGGCUAAAUGAACUAUAUCUGUCCAGCCAGUUUCUUGAUCCGUUAAAAGGAUGCUGUCUCUGCAUGUCCUAACAAUAUAUAUUCAUGCUGUAUAAUUAGUGCUAUAUAUACAACUUGCAAUAUAAUUAUAUAUAUAGUCAUUUGUGUGUCAGUACACAGCCUCUAUAUGUAUAUAGAGCGUGGGUCCUGGGUGACCCAGACCAUGCAUUCAUUAACAUGCAUGCAGAGCAUUUGUGUCCUCUUUUGUGUAAUGCUAAAAAUGUCUAUAUAAUUAUAGUUUUUAGGAGAGUGUUUCUGUUUAGCGUGUUAUAUCAUGUGGAAACUUCCUAAACAGUGUCUAAGCAUUUUAUAUCAUAGCAACCAUGAGUAUUUAGCCAAUCAUGCAGAUUUGAAUGUUCUUAUCUAAUCUUUGCUACAUGAUUUUCUAAGUGAAGUACAUGAUUUCUAAGUAAGUACAUGAUUUUCUAAAUAAGUACAUGAUGUUCUAAGUUGGAUAGAACAAUACCCAUGCAUACUUGGAGCCAAAGGGUGCAUGACACUUCAUAAUUAUCUUGACCUAUUAUAGACUAUAUAAUUAUAAUAGUAAUCUACCUGAAAAAGUAAAGCAAAAUGUCUAACAUACAUCACAGAGUGAUUAUAGCUUGCCGCUCACAACUUGUGUCAGAGCUACAAAAAGGAGAUUUAAACUCAUUAGCAGAUUGGUUCUAUCAGAAUGGGAUGCUUGCUCUACCAGAGCUAGGCGACAUCCAAUCAGAAAAAGAGCAAGUGGAAAAGGCUAGGAGACUGACUAAUGUUCUUGAGAACAGAGUUCACCACGUUACACAUCGCUAUCAGCACUUUACCAAGAUGUUGACACAGAGGUCUUCACAAUUCCAUGGACUAACUGUGAUAUUGGAGAAUAAGAGAAGGAGAAUCUCGCCGAACUAGUACAAAAACAUACAUUUCACGAGACUCAGGUCUAUCUGAGCUAGAAGACUCAUACAUCUGCAUUAAGUGCUUUUGCGGGAACUGUGCUACGAACAAUUUUGUUCAGGGAGAGAAUUGCCCCGACGCACCACCUAAAAGCCCUCCAUUCCUCAGUAUGUGUUCACAAGCUGACGCAAACGGAAUGAAAUUUUCAGACUAUAGACAAUCUAUUAUGGAACAAACUCGUGACAUAAACUCGAAACAUAAAGCCCUUCUCUUACACACUACACAAGAAUUGAAAGAGAAAGUGCCACUGGAUGUUGUCAAGGACACUGUGCAGUCUCUCCUUACCCCACCUCACGUGAAAAAAUCUUUAUACACCUGCAUAUACAAGCGUGGUACCAAAGGACGACUUAGAGAUGUAGGGACACAUGAUGAUCUCAGAUUAUAUUUAGAAAACAACUUCUGCUGCUGGUUCAACAUCCAAUUAAUUGCAGACCUCAGAAAAGUGCUUCUUUUAAAAGGGAAACGUGAUGACUCUUACAUUUGCCACUAUAAAGAACACGUAGCACAAUACUUGAAAAGAUGCUGUGUUAAACACACCAUAUGCGACACAGAGAACGGAAAAGAGUAUAUGCGCAUGGAAAUCGUAUGCCGAGUAUCGACUGACUUCACAAAGCUAAAAACUGAGCAAAUCAGAAUAUUUGAAUACACUCUCCGGCAGUAUGUUAGUAUGCCAGAUUGCAGUAAGACAGUAGACGAACAAAGUGGGGAGCUGAUAUUUACAGAGAAAGAGCCAACUACAAAUCAGCAAGUGAUAAUUCAUCAAGAUUUAGGAGCUACAGAAAGUAUUGACAACAAAAGUACAGAUUCAAUCCUCCAAAAUGUUCAUGGACCUAUGGAAAUCAGGGAUGAUUCUUGCUGCUCAACUAAGAAACUUUGUCUCUGUAUAGCUAUCAUUAUACCAUGUCUUAUACCGUGCAUAGUAUUGUAUUACUGCAAGCCUGAGAAUAAUAGAGACGCAGAGAAUCACAUAGUUUAAGGUUUAAGCGAGUUAAUUCCUGUUUUUGCUUUCAAGUCAUGCAAUAUAGCGGUUAAUAUGUACGUACUUAUUAUUAAUUUUCGGAUGUGCAUGCACACCUAAUUAAUUUUUGAUCCAUUCCUUAUAGCAUACCCUCAUUUUGUUAUAU